AUGAACCGAAUCAUCACCUCCACACGACCGCACCAACCAUUCCUCCAUCUGCCGCUGCUUCAUUCGACGGCCGUCGCAGACCGCACAGCUCGACCGCGAUCGUCCCUGCAAUACCGUCGGAAACAUCUAAAAGCUUCUGUCUUCGAUGCAACCACCACACCUGCUACCUCCGACCCAUCCGCUGAUGCAUGCAUAGAACAACUCCGACAACCAAUCCGGGCCUCCGAGUCUCGCCACCACGACCAGGUACAAUCCGAAUUUCCAAUCGAUUUAGGUGUUGUUCUUUGUAUUUGA